GUCCUGGAAAACAACUGGAUGUGAAGAUGGAAAAGCAAGAAUUCACCUAAUGAAUAGUCCAGUGGAGAAACUGGAGCACAGAGACAUUAAAAACCAGCCCAAGCACACAUCUAGAAAAGCCACCAACCUUGGCAAUCUGAAUCUACAGCACAGCUUCUAAACUUCCUGGAAGAAUGAAGCCAGGACAUUUGAGAAUGACACAAUGAUAAAAGCUGCAGUUCUGGCAUAGAUGAAGAGGCUCUUGUGACCAAAAAAAGUUUAGAAAUAGUGACAGCUUCCUUUCAGAGAGUACUUACAUGCUAGGCUAAGUACCAGGUAAAUUAUAUUUUUAAUUCAUAAAUAAUAUUC
rnacentral:lncRNA from 13 species